UACCUUUUCUUACCUUUUCUUACCUUUUCUUACCUUUUCUUCUCCUCCCUUCAAUAUUAUAUUGUUUACUCUACUUCCACCCUUACUUAUACUCAGUUACAUUGUAUGACUAUAAGCUCACCUUAAGUAUACUUCUUCACGACGCAUACCUUAAGCAUUCGCCCUACCCUGUAAGCCCUACUAGGUAUUCUUAUUGUCUACCUUAGGCCGCCGCCUUAGCUAUUGCUAGUCAUCCUAGAUAUUCCUCUUGACAUUAUAUCUUAACCUGUGAUAGUGGCACUACCUCCUGAUCUAGUGAACAAGCUCAGCAACACUAUAUAAGCCCCGACCUUACCUUAUACCAGUGAGAAGCUUGCUAGGUUAGAGACUCGGUAGCAUAGCGCCUUGGCGUGGGGACCCAAGGCGCGUGGGUUCGAAACCCGCAGGGGACAACAUUACAUCCGGAGCCAACUUCUCAGCUCCUAAAAUAAUGGGAUGUGAACCUGCCAAGUAGGUACCUUCGGGCGGACCUACUACUUGAUUUAGCUGAUUUUUCCUGGGCUGGGAACCUGUAUUGCAUGUACCAAAUCCUGUCUUUCAUUAAUUUUCCUAUGUUCCUGUUAUAUUCUUGGCAUCAUUCAACACUCAGCAUUCCUCCUGUAUAACCAACUCUUGCCUGUAUUUAACAUCACACAAGGACUUGUCAUAAGCACUGCUUGCAUACAAGUAUAACGGAAG
rnacentral:sRNA from 1 species